rnacentral:rRNA from 1 species
GACGAACGCUGGCGGCGCGCUUAACACAUGCAAGUCGAGCGAGAACCAGUCCUUCGGGGCUGGGGACAGCGGCGAACGGGUGAGUAACACGUGGGUAAUCUGCCCUCGGCACCGGAAUAGCCCGGGGAAACCCGGAUUAAUGCCGGAUGGCCUCUCUGCCCGUCGGGGCGGCGAGAAAAGGUAGCUUCGGCCUCCGGCCGAGGAUGAGCCCGCGGCCGAUUAGCUUGUUGGUGAGGUAACGGCUCACCAAGGCGACGAUCGGUAGCUGGUCUGAGAGGACGAUAAGCCACACUGGGACUGAGACACGGCCCAGACGUCUACGGGAGGCAGCAGUGGGGAAUCUUGCGCAAUGGGCGAAAGCCUGACGCAGCGACGCCGCGUGCGGGAAGAAGGCCUUCGGGUUGUAAAGCACUUUAAGCGAGGAGGAGGCUACCUGGAUUAAUACUCUAGGAUAGUGGACGUUACUCGCAGAAUAAGCACCGGCUAACUCUGUGCCAGCAGCCGCGGUAA